rnacentral:lncRNA from 1 species
UUUCUUGAAUGCUUAGCCAUGCAUAGCAAGUGCAGCAGAUCGCGAUGAUGAAGAUGAACAACAUUCGCAACCGGGGGUUCAGGGAGAGAGAGAGAGAUGUGUAAGAGGAUAAAUAGAUAGCAAUUACUCGGGGUAAUGAGUUUGAAUUGGGGGAAGAAAAAAGAUGAAGGCCAGAGUUAAAUAGGCCCGCCAGAGGUCCAUGAUUAGGCUCUGUUCGGUAAUGAUUAAAAGUUAAGUUUUUUUUUUAAAUUUAUCAUUAAAAAAGUUAAAAAAUUUUAAUUUUUUUUUCUGAUUUUUACUUUAACUAAAAAUAAAAGCAAAAGCAAAAAAGCUAUUUUUUUUUGACUUUUUUACAUAUAAAUUUAAAAAAAGUCAAUCAAAAAGCUGGUACCAAACAGUGCCUUAGUUUAACUUAGUUUAUAAGUUAUUAGUUUUGUUUUUUUAUGUCUCAAAAUUUGUGUUAUUUGAUAUAAUUUUUGCUUUAUAUUUAAGAAUCCAAAAAAAAAUACAAAAUUGAAAAAUAAUUUAUUCUUGAAAACUUCAUUAUAAAACUUUUCAACUUCUGUUACUACGUAUGAAAUUCUAACAUAAAUUUGACUAUACCAUACACUCAACUCUAUUUACUCACAACUAAUAAUUUAUUCAAAUCGUUUAUUUUAUAGAACUUUUAAAGUGAUCAUUCCCUAUUUUUUUAUCGAACAUAUUUCACAUUUAUUCUUAUAAUAAAAUCAUUACAUAUUUUCUCAAUUACCAAAUUAUCUCUCCUCAUACAUUUACAUGUUUACUUUAUCCUUAUUAUAGAAAAUUUAAUUUAAAUAUUUAUUUAAAAAUUACAUAAAAACAUAAAAAGAUAUAGCUCGUUUGAUGAAAAAUCAUCCUUUUACAUGUAUUUUGGCAGAAACUUCGCGUCGCUGAAACUUCGCGGAAAAAUGCUUCACGUGAUUUUGUCAGAGCGGUAGGGUUAUCAAUUAAAGGUGGAUGCAGGUCAUUGCGGAGCUGCAAUCCAACAGGGAUAUAAAAUGAUAUCGUUUUUAUCUCCAAAUAUAUUUAUCUCAAAACGGCGUUAAAAGAUUAAUAUAAUAUAAAAUUUUAAUUAAAUAAAAAGAAUGAGAGAAAAAAAAUGUGUGUUUAAGUUUUUUUUAGUAAAAAAUAAUUUAAUUGGUAAAAAAUAUGCAUAACUUUAGAUGUUUUUUAUCUAUUUGAUCAAAACCUAGGUGGGUUCACACAUUUAAGAAAAAUGAAGUGAUAGUUUUAAGAAGAAAAAAAAUAAUCUCAGAUGAAAUUCCGGCCGUUGAAUUCAAUCAAAUGAAUUUCAACCGUAGAUUGCGGGAGAUAAAUUUGAGAUUCAAAAUGAGUUUGUUAUCAAAACCUAUGUGGGCCCACAUUUUUAAGAAGAAGAAAGUGAUAGUUUUAGAUAGAAAAAUAAUAUCAGACGAAAUCUCAACUAUUGAAUUCAUUCAAAUGAAUUUCAACCUAAGAUAACGGGAGAUAAAUUUAAGAUUAAAAAUAAAUUUUUUUUUUUUAGUAUAGAUGAGAGAGAGAUUGAGUCUUUUGACUUAUCGUCAAUCCUUUUGUUACACACGCUUUCUAUCACGUCAGUUGGGAUGUAAUAAUUUUGGGGAAUUUCAAAACCAGAUUAAUCAUUGCAAUUAUCUUGAUAUAAAUUGAUAUUAAUUUAUUAUAAAUUAAUAUUUUAUUAAUAAAAUUUUAAUAAUAUUAAACUCUUUAACAAAAUUUUUAAUAUAAAUAAUUUAAAUUAUUAAAAUUAAUUCAAAAUAAAAUUUAAAAUACUGGUACUGCACUUCCAUAUUUUACGAUAGUCAAGUCCACAGAAUUUUGGUUUAGUAAACUAUCUACUCAUCAUAGUCAAUAACCCGACAAAUCACGGGCCUCUCAAAUAAUUAUGAGUUGCAAACAACAAGUGGGAUACGCUUUCAUGUGUCGGCUGCCUUGUUGCUCACUCCAUGCAGAGAAUUUGGAAUAAGCGAUAUGCUCAAAAGGUACAACAUUGCUUACUGCCUUCUAUAAGACUCGUUCGGCCUUAAUCAUGUGAUCGAAAUUGUUCAUUUUGUAAGAAUCAACAAAUACAUAACUCAAGUAAAAAUUCAAAUUGAUCGGACUUUCUAAGUCAUGUGAUUGAACAAUAUUUGUUUUAUAGUUUAUUUUUAAAUCAUAUUGACGUUCAUUGCAUCCAGGACAAAUAUGAUCAGAUCAACUAACUACAAAUGUUCGAUUAACUUAAUUAUUUUUUAAAUAUGAUCUAGUCAUUGAACGCUACAGUGUUUUGAAUUCUAAUAAUAUAAUUUGAUCGUAAAAAAGACCCAAAUGACAUAUUUUUUUAGCACAAGUUGCAGACGAGCUUUUUUGGGUCAAUUGGGUCUCCCCUACAGGUUUCUUAACAAGUUCGUGAGGUAGAUGGUGGGAGUGGGAACACAUAUGGUCGGUGUGACCGCGAGGAGACCCAAUUGACCAAACGAAGUUUCGCUGAUGUACUGUAUAU